ensembl:rRNA 5S_rRNA 5S ribosomal RNA
GCCAGCAGCCAUGUCACCCUGCAACUUACAAUUGGCAAUCCACUGAAGCUAAGCAGGUGUGAGCCUGGUCAGUACCUGGAUAGGAGACCUCCUGGGAAAAACUAAGGUUGCUGCUGGAA